ACUUAAAUAGCUUAAAUAAAGUGUGAUAUUGAAGAUAUCAAGAUAAAUAAUUAUUUUUUAAGUA
rnacentral:tRNA from 1 species